rfam:Salmo salar isolate Sally breed double haploid chromosome ssa27, whole genome shotgun sequence.
GCGGACUGUGGAGUGGUUUAGGUAGUUUCAUGUUGUUGGGAUCCAUUUUCUACCUCUACAACACGAAACUGUCUGAAUUGGCCCAGUUUAA